UACGUAGGGCGCAAGCGUUAUCCGGAAUUAUUGGGCGUAAAGAGCUCGUAGGCGGUUUGUCGCGUCUGCCGUGAAAGUCCGGGGCUCAACUCCGGAUCUGCGGUGGGUACGGGCAGACUAGAGUGAUGUAGGGGAGACUGGAAUUCCUGGUGUAGCGGUGAAAUGCGCAGAUAUCAGGAGGAACACCGGUGGCGAAGGCGGGUCUCUGGGCAAUAACUGACGCUGAGGAGCGAAAGCGUGGGGAGCAACAGG
rnacentral:rRNA from 1 species